GACGAACGCUGGCGGCGUGCCUAAUACAUGCAAGUUGAGCGCUGAAGGUUGGUACUUGUCCCAACUGGAUGAGCAGCGAACGGGUGAGUAACGCGUGGGGAAUCUGCCUUUGAGCGGGGGACAACAUUUGGAAACGAAUGCUAAUACCGCAUAAAAACUUUAAACACAAGUUUUAAGUUUGAAAGAUGCAAUUGCAUCACUCAAAGAUGAUCCCGCGUUGUAUUAGCUAGUUGGUGAGGUAAAGGCUCACCAAGGCGAAGAUACAUAGCCGACCUGAGAGGGUGAUCCGCCAAAAUGGGACUGAGACCCGGCCCAAAAUUCUAAGGGGGGGAGCAGGAGGGAAUCUUCGGCCAUGGACGGAAGUCCGACCGAGCAACGCCGCGUGAGUGAAGGAGGUUUUCGGGUCGGAAAACUCUGUUGGUAGAGAAGAAAGAUGGUGAGAGUGGAAAGCUCAUCAAGUGACGGUAACUACCCAGAAAGGGACGGCUAACUACGUG
rnacentral:rRNA from 1 species